UACGUAGGGUGCGAGCGUUGUCCGGAAUUACUGGGCGUAAAGAGCUCGAGGUGGUUUGUCGCGUUGUCCGUGAAAACUCACAACUCAAUUGUGGGCGUGCGGGCGAUAGCGGGCAGACUGGAGUACUGCAGGGGAGACUGGAAUUCCUGGUGAGCGGUGGAAUGCGCAGAGUAUCGAGGAGGACACCGGUGCGAAGGCGG
rnacentral:rRNA from 1 species